rnacentral:rRNA from 1 species
UACGGAGGGUGCGAGCGUUGUCCGGAAUCACUGGGCGUAAAGGGCGCGUAGGUGGCGCGGCAAGUCAACGGUGAAAGCUCGACGCUCAACGUCGAGUCGGCCGUCGAUACUGCUGGGCUUGAGCACUGUAGAGGCAGAUGGAAUUCCGGGUGUAGCGGUGGAAUGCGUAGAGAUCCGGAAGAACACCGGUGGCGAAGGCGGUCUGCUGGGCAGUAGCUGACACUGAGGCGCGACAGCGUGGGGAGCGAACAGG